AACGUAUAAUUCGUACGAUUAUCAUUAAGGUGCACGAUAAGACGGAUCCUCUUGACACGAGAACCUUCGAUUUUUCAAUAUUCGAAGGACGACGAGAGCUUUUGAGACAUAAAGAGACUUUGUUAAAAGGGUGAACUAUCGAUAGAAAAUAAAAAAUACGAAGAAAAGGAAUAAGCUGACCUCGUUAAGAUGCAUACGACGGCGUGAAAAUAAUGAAAUAAUUCAAGUUAAUAGUAAAUAGAUAUACUUAGGUAUUGAAACAUAUCACUGGUAUGCGAAUAAAAGAACAAUUAAUUCGUUCGUUGUUUUCAGCGAGUCGGAGGAGCGGAUAAGAUGAAUUAUGCAGGAAUUAUAUGUCGAGAAGGCGGAUAUGGUGAGGCGUGGAAAGGGUGAAUUCGCGAGGGAACUGGAAGGAAGAACGUCGUAGCCGUCGUAGCCGUCGUAGUCGUUGUAGUCGUCGAAGGAUAAGGUAAAAAAGAAAGAAAGAAAAAAAAAAGAAAUGAAAGGAAGGGAGUAGUAAGGCUCGUGUUUGCUUCGCAGAGAGAAAGAAAGAGAAAAAGAGAGAGAGAGAAAGAUAGAGGCACCGAAUGUUUUUCGAGCGAACAGUACGCAGAAGCGGCGGGCGUGGAGAGAAGGGAAAAGGGCGUAGUAAGUCAUACGGAGAGGCUCGUACGUCAUUCUCCAUCCGGGCCAACGGAGCAGCAACACAUGGAAAGGACUCCGACGGCCCUCCAGAAACACCAUUCGCUUUUACGUCGACACGAUCGUUUCGUACGGAGUAUCGUAUCUCCGAACACGAGCUCGGUCGAAGAAGUUCUGACCGGGUGGACCAUUCUUACCCCACACGAAGAAAACGGAAGGAACGAGAGGAUCUUCGUCGAUGAGAGCAUGAGAGGAGCCAAAGGAAGAAGGAGCGUGCCGGAGGGUAGGGUCCUGCAUUACCGGCUGGCUCGCAAGCGAGUCUCGCAAACGGCGAUAGCGGUAAACGUGGAGGCGCAUAAAGGAGGUGGGGUAAACGAGCAAAACCACGAUUUCGUCGUCGUAAACGUCAACGUUACGGUUACAGCGUUGUUCGUAGCUGCUUUAUAUUGAAUGAGCUUGCUCCCCGAGAUAACCAUCUUUAGAUUACUCUUUAUUCUUUCGAAAGAAAACAAAGAAGAGAAGGAAAUUAUAUGAGAGAGAAGAAAACGAAAAGGGGAGAAGGGAGGUUGUAUUUUAGUUCAUCGCUUAAUAGAUCUAAAGUAAGUACGUCCUAACCAAGGUACAUUAUCAAUAGCCCCCAGUAAUUGUCGUGUAUGAAAAGUAUGAAAAUAGAAUUCAUUCAGUAGAAAUUCCCGUUCUUCGAAGCUUGAAUAAGCCCGUUUCCUACGUCACGCAGUCUCAUAAAGUAAUCCCUACACCUUUGUAUGCAUAAAGAGUGUUGGAUCUUUCUGUGGUCGCGGAGAAAGAUGAGGAAGAAGAAGAGGAAGAAGAAGAAGAAGAAGAAGAAGAAAAAGAAGAAGAAAAAAGUAGGCGGACCUAAAACCGGACUGAGGAGAUCGCGCGAGAAGAAGAGGGCCGAGACCAGAGAUAGAUAGAUGAAAAGGAAGAUAUAGAAAGAGAGAGAAAGAGAGAGAGAGAGAGAGAGAGAGAGAGAGAGAAACUCCAGAUCCAGCUGGCUCGUUGAAAAAGUCACGAUCGAAAAGUGAGACGGAGCUUCUCGAGAGCAACGUUGAUUAUAUAUCUACUAACGACUAGAAGAGUGCGAGUGAGAGAGAUAGAUAGAGAGAGUUCUACGUCAGAGAAGUCUCUCUCAACGUGAGAGUGGGACAAAGACAUGGUUAGAAACAGCUGACUACCGGAAUUCGGGGUUCCGGAGGG